rnacentral:rRNA from 1 species
GCUAGUAAUCGCGGAUCAGAAUGCCGCGGUGAAUACGUUCCCGGGUCUUGUACACACCGCCCGUCACACCAUGGGAGUCGGAAAUGCCCGAAGUCUGUGACCCAACCAUUAAGGAGGGAGCAGCCGAAGGCAGGUCGGAUGACUGGGGUGAAGUCGUAACAAGGUAAC